UACGGAGGAUGCGAGCGUUAUCCGGAUUUAUUGGGUUUAAAGGGUGCGUAGGCGGACGCUUAAGUCAGCGGUAAAAUUGCGGGGCUCAACCUCGUCGAGCCGUUGAAACUGGGUGCCUUGAGUGGGCGAGAAGUACGCGGAAUGCGUGGUGUAGCGGUGAAAUGCAUAGAUAUCACGCAGAACUCCGAUUGCGAAGGCAGCGUACCGGCGCUCAACUGACGCUGAAGCACGAAGGCGUGGGUAUCGAACAGG
rnacentral:rRNA from 1 species